GGCGGACGGGUUUAGUAACGCGUGGGAACGUGCCCUUCACUAUGGAAUAGUCCCGGGAAACUGGGUUUAAUACCGUAUACGCCCUUCGGGGGAAAGAAUUUCGGUGAAGGAUCGGCCCGCGUCUGAUUAGGUAGUUGGUGGGGUAAUGGCCUACCAAGCCUACGAUCAGUAGCUGGUUUGAGAGGAUGAUCAGCAACACUGGGACUGAGACACGGCCCAGACUCCUACGGGAGGCAGCAGUGGGGAAUCUUAGACAAUGGGGGCAACCCUGAUCUAGCCAUGCCGCGUGAGUGACGAAGGCCUUAGGGUCGUAAAGCUCUUUCGCUGGGGAAGAUAAUGACUGUACCCAGUAAAGAAACCCCGGCUAACUCCGUGCCAGCAGCCGCGGUAAUACGGAGGGGGUUAGCGUUGUUCGGAAUUACUGGGCGUAAAGCGCGC
rnacentral:rRNA from 1 species